rnacentral:tRNA from 1 species
GCCGCGAUCGUCUAGUGGUUAGGACAUUAGUUUGUGGUUGAACUAAUCGUGAACACUGAAAACGGCGGUUCGAUUCCGCCUCGUGGCA